rnacentral:rRNA from 1 species
AACGAACGCUGGCGGCAGGCCUAACACAUGCAAGUCGAACAUCCUAGCAAUAGGGAGUGGCAGACGGGUGAGUAACACGUGGGAACCUUCCCUAUAGUACGGAAUAGCCCAGGGAAACUUGGAGUAAUACCGUAUACGCCCGAAAGGGGAAAGAUUUAUCGCUAUAGGAUGGGCCCGCGUCGGAUUAGCUAGUUGGUGAGGUAAUGGCUCACCAAGGCAACGAUCCGUAGCUGGUUUGAGAGAAUGACCAGCCACACUGGGACUGAGACACGGCCCAGACUCCUACGGGAGGCAGCAGUGGGGAAUCCUGGACAAUGGGCGCAAGCCUGAUCCAGCCAUGCCGCGUGAGUGAUGAAGGCCUUAGGGUUGUAAAGCUCUUUUGUCGGGGACGAUAAUGACGGUACCCGAAGAAUAAGCUCCGGCUAACUUCGUGCCAGCAGCCGCGGUAA